GACGAACCGUCCAAACGUUAUUCGGAAUUACUGGGCUUAAAGGGUGCGCAGGCGGCGCGGAAAGUUGGGUGUGAAAUCCCUCGGCUCAACCGAGGAACUGCGCCCAAAACUACCGUGCUUGAGGGAGACAGAGGUAAGCGGAACUUAGGGUGGAGCGGUGAAAUGCGUUGAUAUCGUAAGGAAGACCAGUGGCGAAGGCGGGUCUCUGGACAGUUCCUGACGCUGAGGCACGAAGGCCAGGGGAGCAAACGGG
rnacentral:rRNA from 1 species